GGGAGCGAUGCCAAUUUCUUACGAAACAGUGUAGGUUGGAAGCGGGGGCUUGUUUUUGUAAAAAAAAUCACAAAUUAAUGUGUUUUUAUACAUUUGUGAGGUUAAACAUAAAUGGUAUCUACUAAUUUUCCGCAUUUAUUGUGUAUGUUAUGUAAAUAAAAGACAUGAGCUAACCAUGUAACCGGAACAGGAUGUUGUCAUAUUUACGCACAGGAACGUCGGACUCCUCCUUUCAGGAAUGUCAGACCUCUCCUUUUGGGAAUAAACUAUAAAGAAAUGCAAUUUAAAACCACCACCAUUGGAUUUAUCGGAAAUAACAAUCCGAUCUGCUGAAGGAAAAAAAUUACCGAAGCUUUCGAGAGAAAUGCAAAAACGAUCGACGUGUAAUCGAGCUCCGAUGUUGUCACCGAAUUUUAAUCGACGCAUCCAAUCUCAUAUCUGGCUCCCAUCGUUGCACAACCUUGGCCUGGCUUGUUCCUCGUGUCUACGAGCUUUUAUUUUCAUUAUAGACAGGUGUUUAUAAUACAUGGAUGAAAGAUAAUAAAAAUUACAUUUUGAUCAACACAAUAUAGGCCUCUUAUCACAUGAAAUAAACAUAAUAAAAAAUAUACAUUACUGCAAUAUGUGACGCUAAAGUUAAAAAUUACUCAGGUCAACAAUUUAUCGUACAUCAAAACGAAGCACGGAAUCAAUGAUAUGUUCGUCAGUCUGUCCAUACAUGAUAACAAUUGAACAAUUCAUCUUCGGGUUUUUUUCAUGAUAGAAACUCACAACGGAUUAUGAUACCAUCUGUCAUGGCGAUUUUUAUUUAAAUUUUGACACGAACAAUCUAUACUAAAAUAUCAAAGUGAAUGCCUCGAUGCGAGAGUCGUUCUAUAUGUGACAUUCUGUGAUGUAUAUCCAGGCACGCAUCAAGCUCUCUGCACACUCGAAGCUCCCUGUUUUAAAGACGUGCAUGCAUUUUACAUCUCACGCAUUAAGUUUUCUGCCACUCGAAGCCCCCUGUUUUAAAGACGUGCAUGCAUUUUUUGAUGUUCCAAAUUAUAGCCGCUAGUAUGGAAUCGGAGAACUAUGUUUAACCAUAUGGCAAACCAUGUUAAUGUUGGGUAUAGGAUUAGUUAGCUAGUUAUUUGUUUCAUACUCGUGGACUUGAUGGCAACAGAAGUCGUAACCGUACGUGAACCACCCUACGACGGUGAGGAGUCCAGCAAUCCUUUGCAGACGUAAUCAUCCCCCGAGAGAUUUGGACCUGCGAAAUCACACAUGUAGACAGUGAACGUAUUCCUAAUGGUCAGCACAACAUACUAUAAUAUGUUCAGUCUGUAUUUUCUUCGCUCUUUUCAAUUAACUUCAUGGUUUUUA